AACGAACGCUGGCGGCAUGCCUAACACAUGCAAGUCGAACGAGACCUUCGGGUCUAGUGGCGCACGGGUGCGUAACGCGUGGGAACCUGCCCUUAGGUUCGGAAUAACUCCCCGAAAGGGGUGCUAAUACCGGAUAAUGUCUUCGGACCAAAGAUUUAUCGCCUUUGGAUGGGCCCGAGUUGGAUUAGCUAGUUGGUAGGGUAAAAGCCUACCAAGGCGACGAUCCAUAGCUGGUCUGAGAGGAUGAUCAGCCACACUGGGACUGAGACACGGCCCAGACUCCUACGGGAGGCAGCAGUGGGGAAUAUUGGACAAUGGGCGAAAGCCUGAUCCAGCAAUGCCGCGUGAGUGAUGAAGGCCUUAGGGUUGUAAAGCUCUUUUACCCGGGAUGAUAAUGACAGUACCGGGAGAAUAAGCGCCGGCUAACUCCGUG
rnacentral:rRNA from 1 species